rnacentral:rRNA from 1 species
UUAAAUUGAAGAGUUUGAUCAUGGCUCAGAUYGAACGCUGGCGGCAGGCCUAACACAUGCAAGUCGAACGGUAACAG